rnacentral:rRNA from 1 species
GUCGGGAAUAUUGCGCAAUGGAGGAAACUCUGACGCAGUGACGCCGCGUAUAGGAAGAAGUUUUUCGGAAUGUAAACUAUUGUCGUUAGGGAAGAGAAAGGACAGUACCUAAGGAGGAAGCUCCGGCUAACUACGUGCCAGCAGCCGCGGUAAUACGUAGGGAGCGAGCGUUAUCCGGAAUUAUUGGGUGUAAAGGGUGCGUAGACGGGAGAGCAAGUUAGUUGUGAAAUCCCUCGGCUUAACUGAGGAACUGCAACUAAAACUACGCUUCUUGAGUGCAGGAGAGGUAAGUGGAAUUCCUAGUGUAGCGGUGAAAUGCGUAGAUAUUAGGAGGAACACCAGUGGCGAAGGCGACUUACUGGACUGUAACUGACGUUGAGGCACGAAAGUGUGGGGAGCAAACAGG